rnacentral:rRNA from 1 species
UGCUUAGCAGCUAGCUUUAUCGAUAAAAUGCACCAUAUACUUAUUAUUAAACCAAUAAGUCCUAAUUAAGUUUAUAUUAAACCAUUUUUCCCCUUAAGUAUAGGAGACAGAAAAAGACAUUAAAGCAAUAGAAAAAGUACCGCAAGGGAAUGCUGAAAAAGAAAUGAAAAAACUCAGUAAAGCAUUAAAAAGCAAAGCUUAAACCUUGUACCUUUUGCAUCAUGAAUUAGUGAGAAACCGUCUGGCAAAAUGAGUUUUAGUCCGACACCCCGAAACCUAGUGAGCUACUCCGAGAUAGCCUGCAAGGGCAAACCCGUCCCUGUGGCAAAAGGGUGGGAAAAGCUUCGAGUAGAGGUGACAAAUCUACCGAACUAGGUUAUAGCUGGUUACCUAAGAAAUGAAUAAAAGUUCAGCUUCUUAUGUUCUUCCACUUAUUAUAGGCCCCCUUAAAUAAGCCAAAGAAAAUAAGAAAAAUAGACAAAAGGGGUACAGCCCUUCUGUAAAAAGACACAGCUUUCCUGGGCAGGGUAAAGAUCAAAUUUAAUAAGGCAAAACCCUCCAGUGGGCUUAAAAGCAGCCACCUGAAAAGAAAGCGUUAAAGCUCGGCGACUCUUUACGCCACUAAUUUUGAUAUCUUAUUCUUAGCCCGCCCUCUCCUAUUAGGUCGCCUCAUGCCCCCAUGAGAGUGACUAUGCUAAUAUAAGUAAUAAGAGAAUUGAAUCUCUCCCUGCACACGUGUAUGUCAGAAUGAACAAAUCACUGAUAUUUAACGCCCCCAAUAAGAGGGCCCUUGGUUAAAAAUUUAUUACAAGAAGUACGCCAACCACUCCCCCGUUAAUCUUACACAAGAGUGCUCUUUGGGAAAGACAUAAAGGAAGAGAAGGAACUCGGCAAAUUCUUAUUAAGCCCCGCCUGUUUACCAAAAACAUCGCCUCUUGUCCACUAAAAAUAAGAGGUCCUGCCUGCCCUGUGAUUAUUAAUUUAACGGCCGCGGUAUUUUGACCGUGCAAAGGUAGCGCAAUCACUUGUCUCUUAAAUGGAGACCUGUAUGAAUGGCAAAACGAGGGCUUGACUGUCUCCUUUUCCUAGUCAAUGAAAUUGAUCUUCCCGUGCAGAAGCGGGAAUAAUUACAUAAGACGAGAAGACCCUGUGGAGCUUUAGACACAUCUAGCAGCCCCCGUAAAGCAAGUUUUAUAAAAACUAAAACUAGGUUAGACUGCUUCACUGUCUUUGGUUGGGGCGACCACGGAGAAACACUUAACCUCCAUGUAGACCGGGGUUAUAAAUCCUAGAGAAAAGACCGACCUGUCGAUACAACAGAAUUUCUGACUAAUAAUGAUCCGGCUUAACCGAUCAACGAACCGAGUUACCCCAGGGAUAACAGCGCAAUCCUCUUCCAGAGCCCUUAUCGACAAGAGGGUUUACGACCUCGAUGUUGGAUCAGGACAUCCUAAUGGUGUAGCCGCUAUUAAGGGUUCGUUUGUUCAACGAUUAAAGUCCUACGUGAUCUGAGUUCAGACCGGAGCAAUCCAGGUCAGUUUCUAUCUAUGGUGUGUAAUUUUUUAGUACGAAAGGACCGGAAAGAACAGGCCCCUGCUUAAACAUGCCUGACCCUCAACUCAUGACGUCAACUAAAACUGACGAAGGGGCACCCCCCCCCCAACCAAAAAUAAUGGCUU